rnacentral:rRNA from 1 species
UACGAAGGGUGCAAGCGUUACUCGGAAUUACUGGGCGUAAAGGGUGCGUAGGUGGUUUGUUAAGUCUGCUGUGAAAUCCCCGGGCUCAACCUGGGAAUGGCAGUGGAUACUGGCAAGCUAGAGUGCGGUAGAGGGUAGUGGAAUUCCCGGUGUAGCAGUGAAAUGCGUAGGGAUCGGGAGGAACACCAGUGGCGAAGGCGGCUACCUGGACCAGCACUGACACUGAAGCACGAAAGCGUGGGGAGCAAACAGG